UAAAUCUAAAUGAGAAAGACGAGUAGACUUUCAUUAUUUAACCAGAGAGUCGCCGAUAGUGAGAAGGCGAUAACCAUGUGAAGGUUGAAGAACACUUUCGGAUAAUUUAACCCAAAUGAGAUUCUCAAAGUAGGCUUAAACGGGCCACCGAUCCGUUACCAUCGGCCGAGUAUGAAUGUACUCGUAUUUAAGAGUUGGUUGGACUAAUACUUCAACAAUUUGGGUGGUACCGCGGAAAAAAGCCUUUCGUCCCAUGC
rnacentral:ncRNA from 1 species